rnacentral:rRNA from 1 species
ACGGACGGGUGACUCGUUAUCACAUGCCUGGUGUAAUGGGAUAACUAUUGGAAACAAUAUUAUAAUACCGCAUAAUAUUCUCUGAUGAGUGAUAUCUGCUACCUUCGGGCCUUGGCUUAUUUACGCGAUGGAUAUGUGAUGAAUUAGCUGGUGGGGGGGAGGACUACUCACGCAAGCAACAAUACCGGGUCUAACUGGAAGAUCGAUCGGCCUGGCUGUGACAGACACCCCGCACUCAUUCCUACGGGAGGCAUGGGGAAUUUUGCAUCAUGGAUGCACGGCUGAUUCACCCAUGCCCCGCGCCUGAAUAAAGACUGCUUUCUGAUCAGGACUUUUGGCUGGAAAAAAAAAGCUGUCGCCAAAACGGAAAGUUGAUGACGGGACCUGAUCUUACCACACCGGGAAAGUUCAUGACACCCCCCCCGCCGCUACAUUAGGUGCGACCCGAGCUCUGACUUGAUGUAUUGGGCGCAAGCGCAGACCGUUACUUAAGAUGGAUGUGAAAUCCCCGGCUGCAGCUUGACCACUGCGUUCUGAACUGACUGACUAGAGUGUGUGCGAGAGAGGAGAGUGUACUUCUGUGUGUAGCGGUUGCAUGCAUAUAUAUAGGAAUAAACAUGGCUAACGAAGCCUCCUCUCUGAAUUGUGACUGACAUGCACGAUCGCAUGCGUGGCGAGCAGGAAUGAAUAGACUGCCUGUCCACCCCCUCCAC